rnacentral:rRNA from 1 species
AGGAUGAACGCUGGCGGCGUGCCUAAUACAUGCAAGUCGAGCGGUAAGGCCUCUUCGGAGGUACACGAGCGGCGGACGGCUGAGUAACACGUAGGAACGUACCCCAAAGUGAGGCAUAAGCACCAGAAAUGGUGUCUAAUACCGCAUGUGCUCUAAGGAGUAAAGCUUCGGCGCUUUGGGAACGGCCUGCGCAUGAUUAGCUUGUUGGUGAGGUAAUAGCUCACCAAGGCGACGAUCAUUAGCUGGUCUGAGAGGAUGACCAGCCAGACUGGGACUGAGAACGGCCCAGACUCCUACGGGAGGCAGCAGUAGGGAAUUUUCCACAAUGGGCGAAAGCCUGAUGGAGCAACGCCGCGUGCAGGAUGAAUGCCUUCGGGUUGUAAACUGCUUUUAUAUGUGACGAUUAUGACGGUAGCAUAUGAAUAAGGAUCGGCUAACUCCGUGCCAGCAGCCGC